AGUGAACGCUGGCGGUAGGCCUAACACAUGCAAGUCGAACGGCAGCACAGUAAGAGCUUGCUCUUACGGGUGGCGAGUGGCGGACGGGUGAGGAAUACAUCGGAAUCUACUUUUUCGUGGGGGAUAACGUAGGGAAACUUACGCUAAUACCGCAUACGACCUACGGGUGAAAGCAGGGGAUCUUCGGACCUUGCGCGAUUGAAUGAGCCGAUGUCGGAUUAGCUAGUUGGCGGGGUAAAGGCCCACCAAGGCGACGAUCCGUAGCUGGUCUGAGAGGAUGAUCAGCCACACUGGAACUGAGACACGGUCCAGACUCCUACGGGAGGCAGCAGUGGGGAAUAUUGGACAAUGGGCGCAAGCCUGAUCCAGCCAUACCGCGUGGGUGAAGAAGGCCUUCGGGUUGUAAAGCCCUUUUGUUGGGAAAGAAGAGCAGCAGGUUAAUACCCCGCCGUUCUGACGGUACCCAAAGAAUAGGCACCGGCUAACUUCGUG
rnacentral:rRNA from 1 species